AUUGAACGCUGGCGGCAUGCCUUACACAUGCAAGUCGAACGGUAACAGGUUAAGCUGACGAGUGGCGAACGGGUGAGUAAUGUAUCGGAACGUGCCCAGUCGUGGGGGAUAACUGCUCGAAAGAGCAGCUAAUACCGCAUACGACCUGAGGGUGAAAGCGGGGGAUCGCAAGACCUCGCGCGAUUGGAGCGGCCGAUAUCAGAUUAGGUAGUUGGUGAGGUAAAGGCUCACCAAGCCGACGAUCUGUAGCUGGUCUGAGAGGACGACCAGCCACACUGGGACUGAGACACGGCCCAGACUCCUACGGGAGGCAGCAGUGGGGAAUUUUGGACAAUGGGCGCAAGCCUGAUCCAGCCAUGCCGCGUGCGGGAAGAAGGCCUUCGGGUUGUAAGCCGCUUUUGUCAGGGAAGAAAAGGUUCUGGCUAAUACCUGGGACUCAUGACGGUACCUGAAGAAUAAGCACCGGCUAACUACGUG
rnacentral:rRNA from 1 species